UGUAUCACGUUUUUUUUAUUAGUUAAUUCAAAUGUUAGGUUAUUUCAUUUAUUAUAGUUAGUUGACAAAUACACGGAGUCACGAAUAUUAUUUGGGAGAAACCUUAAAAGAUGCUCAAUUGACUUUUAAGGAAAUCCUGCGCAAUUUGACAUCAUCGGCCGCCAGCGCCCCCUUAAGGAGCCCAUUUGCAACUCGUAAAUGGCUCUCCUUAAUUAAUAUGCCGUCCAAUACAAUGUCCAACAAAACGAAAACCAUUUAAAAGGACUCGUAACUAGCAAGAAGGGGUCCGUGAGCAAGUUCUUCCAGAAGAUAACGUCCGGAGGAACAGCAUAUGCGUCAUGGUCC